UUUUUUGGAAUUCACAUACUCUUCUUCUAACUCUCGCUAUCCCAAUUGUUGUUUGCGGAAAAUAUCAUGAAACCUGUCCUUGUGUUGAUAAAUGAGGUGCAAGUCUUUGAGUUUGUAAUUGUAUGAACACCAAAGCUAUGGCAAAUUGAAACCACUUCUUUGAACGCUAGCCACCGUUUAAUCUACAAAUAAAACGAACUUCUUGUUAAUAGUUGUCCUAUCUAGUCAUACGCAAAUGGUAUCUAGUCAUGCCCAAACAUUCCUUAAUUUGAGUAUCACAUCUCUCUAAACUUG
rnacentral:misc_RNA from 1 species